CCUGCUGCAGCCGGCAGCACGUCACUCCAUGCGGGAGGGGAGCCCCACCUAAGGUUCUUGGCCAUAAAAUAUGGCUUUUGGAAAAAUAAAGCUGAGACUUGGAGUUCACGGUGGGGGCUCCCCCAUCUGUGAACAGAAGCAGAAGUUUGGAACUGCCUUCUUUACUGCUCGAGAGGGAAAACUUGAGUGAAAACCAGGAUGCUGGCGAAUGUUGAGUAGCUAAGCUGCACAGGAAAUACCACUUGAUGACCUGCGAUCUGGGGAAGCCGCGCCAGGGCUCUGCGAAGCUGCGGACGAGGGAGGCGUCAGUGUGGGGGCUGCAGCUCAGCUCCGGGGGGGACGCGCCUUUCUCCACGGGACCUGGGGCUCAGGUGCUCACGAGGCUGGGGCGCUGCAGGCCACCCGCAGGGGAAACUGAGGCCCUCCAUUUUGUGGGGCUGGAAGACCUUUCCUUCCAAAAGCAGGUGUAGGCGGGAGCACCUGUGCAGUCCCUCUGUUCAGAUCCUCACCCACUUUUAAAUCAGGAAACAGCAGAUGAAAUGCACAGUGUGAAGGACAAGGAUUCUGCUGAGAGAAUUGCUCCGAGGGUUGCUCAAGUGAUCAUGGGAAAUAAUGCAUCAAACCAUUCUUUAGAUGCAGCUCAGGUGUGCCUUUUCUUCGCCUGUGCCCAUCCACCUGAGAUGGACCAUAACCAUAAAAGUCAGAAGGCACUGACCCUUCAGGACGUGACAGGGUUAAAAGAUGCUGGAGGGAAAGUCUGUCAUUGACUUUUAUUCACUUCCUUUCUCCAUUCUGCCAUUUGGAAGAAGCCCUGGCCACGCUUUCCCAUCACCUCCUCCAGGUGGGUGCAGCAGCAGAAGGAAAGGCUGCUUGAAGUUGGUUCAAAAGAAAAGAGGAGGGGAGGAAUGAAUUUCUGGCGUUGAGACCUAGUAACUGUUUUCAAGGACAUAGGAUGGUUGCUGGAGGGGAGAAGGAGUAUCAACAGAAGUCUAUUUGGAAUUUCUUUUUUUUGUGUGGGAAGAUGCACGUAAAAUAAAAUUUUCCAUUUUAA
rnacentral:lncRNA from 1 species